UGCUCCUAGGUCCUUGCAUCCAGUGGGCA
rnacentral:piRNA from 1 species